UGUGUUUAGACUGGGCAGGUAACGUUUGUGUUAGACUGGGCAGGUAACGUUUGUGUUUAGACUGGGCAGGUAACGUUUGUGUUUAGACUGGGCAGGUAACGUUUGUGUUUAGACUGGGCAGGUAACGUUUGUGUUAGACUGGGCAGGUAACGUUUGUGUUUAGACUGGGCAGGUAACGUUUGUGUUUAGACUGGGCAGGUAACGUUUGUGUUUAGACUGGGCAGGUAACGUUUGUGUUAGACUGGGCAGGUAACGUUUGUGUUAGACUGGGCAGGUAACGUUUGUGUUAGACUGGGCAGGUAACGUUUGUGUUAGACUGGGCAGGUAACGUUUGUGUUAGACUGGGCAGGUAACGUUUGUGUUAGACUGGGCAGGUAACGUUUGUGUUAGACUGGGCAGGUAACGUUUGUGUUUAGACUGGGCAGGUAACGUUUGUGUUAGACUGGGCAGGUAACGUUUGUGUUAGACUGGGCAGGUAACGUUUGUGU